AAUUUUGGUAUUUAGUGUAAUUUUUUUUAGAAAAGAAACAUCAUUUAUAUUUAGUAGUGGUGAAGGAAAUAAUUAUAUAUUAAUAUAUAAAUUGUACCGUUACGGAAAAUUAUAAAUUUCUUUUAAGUAGAAUUUUAAUUCAUACCUUUUGCAUCAUGGUUUAGUAAGAAAAUUUUUUAAAUUAAGUUUCUCGAAACCUGAGGAGCUACCUUAAAUUUUGGUUUAGCCUUAAAUAAAGGUGAGUGUGGCACAACUCUAUUUAAAAUUUAAGGUAGAGAUUAAAUGUUAUUCGUCUUAGGUGAUAGCUAGUUAUAAUAUAAAGAUAUAUAAGUAUCGGAUAUAAUUUCAUUAUGUGUUUAUAUUAUAUAUACAUAAUGACUUAUUUUCUUAAUUAUGUGAGGGUGAGCUCGCAUAAAUUUAUUUUAAUUAAAAUUAUAUAUGAAUCUAAGCUUGGGAUUAGCUAUGAUAAAUUGGAAUUUGUUAAAAAUACAUAUACACAAGAACUUUGUAAUAUAUUAAAUUUAUGUUAUUCAAUUAUAUAAUUAAAAUAAGGUUGAUUUAUGCUAAAAUGAGUAUUAUUAUGGGCAAAAAAAAAAAUAAAUUAAAUUUUUUUUAAAAAUUUUUUAUAAAUAUUAUAAAAUAUAUCAUAGGAACUCGGCAAAAAUUUAGCUCCGCCUGUUUAGCAAAAACAUGUCUCUUUGAAACAUAAUAUAAAGAGUCUGGCCUGCCCGG
rnacentral:rRNA from 1 species